GGACCCGCACAAGCAGUGGAGCAUGUGGUUUAAUUCGAUGCAACGCGAAGAACCUUACCAGGGCUUGACAUACUGCAGAUCUUUUUGAGAAAGAAGAGUGCCUUCGGGAAUGCAGAUACAGGUGGUGCAUGGCUGUCGUCAGCUCGUGUCGUGAGAUGUUGGUUAAGUCCCGCAACGAGCGCAACCCUUAUUUUUAGUUACCAACUUGUUGGGUUCUCUAGAAAGACUGCCGGUGACAAACCGGAGGAAGGUGAGGAUGACGUCAAGUCAGCAUGCCCCUUAUGUCCUGGCUACACACGUGCUACAAUGGUUAAGACAAAGAGUCGCGAGUUCGUGAGAACCAG
rnacentral:rRNA from 1 species